CCUACGGGUGGCUGCAGUGGGGAAUAUUGGACAAUGGGCGAAAGCCUGAUCCAGCCAUGCCGCGUGUGUGAAGAAGGCCUUCGGGUUGUAAAGCACUUUCAGUGGGGAAGAAAGCCUUGGGGCUAAUACCCUCGAGGAAGGACAUCACCCACAGAAGAAGCACCGGCUAACUCCGUGCCAGCAGCCGCGGUAAUACGGAGGGUGCGAGCGUUAAUCGGAAUUACUGGGCGUAAAGCGCGCGUAGGCGGUCUGAUAAGCCGGUUGUGAAAGCCCCGGGCUCAACCUGGGAACGGCAUCCGGAACUGUCAGGCUAGAGUGCAGGAGAGGAAGGUAGAAUUCCCGGUGUAGCGGUGAAAUGCGUAGAGAUCGGGAGGAAUACCAGUGGCGAAGGCGGCCUUCUGGACUGACACUGACGCUGAGGUGCGAAAGCGUGGGUAGCAAACAGGAUUAGCUACCCUUGUAGUC
rnacentral:rRNA from 1 species